rnacentral:rRNA from 1 species
GACGAACGCUGGCGGCGUGCUUAACACAUGCAAGUCGAACGGAAAGGCCUGCCACUGUGGUGGUGGGUACUCGAGUGGCGAACGGGUGAGUAACACGUGGGUGAUCUGCCCCGCACUGUGGGAUAAGCCUGGGAAACUGGGUCUAAUACCACAUACGACCACACUGUAGACAGUGUGGUGGAAAGCUUUUGCGGUGUGGGAUGAGCCCGCGGCCUAUCAGCUUGUUGGUGGGGUAAUGGCCUACCAAGGCGGCGACGGGUAGCCGGCCUGAGAGGGUGGACGGCCACAUUGGGACUGAGACACGGCCCAGACUCCUACGGGAGGCAGCAGUGGGGAAUAUUGCACAAUGGGCGCAAGCCUGAUGCAGCGACGCCGCGUGGGGGAUGACGGCCUUCGGGUUGUAAACUCCUUUCGCCCGGGACGAAGCCCACCUUGGUGGGUGACGGUACCGUGGAGAAGAAGCACCGGCUAACUACGUGCCAGCCGCCGCAGUAACAC